ACCUUAGAAUGGCAUAGCCUACAAUGAUGAGGUUCCAAUGAGAAAGAAGGGUGUGGUAAGUGAAGAAAUGCUUCGGGGAGUUGAAAAUAAGCAUAGAUCCAGAAAUUCCCAAAUAGGUUAACCUUUUUAACUGCUACAGAAUCCAUGGGCUACCAAGAGACAACCUGUCAAACUGAAACAUCUUAGCAGGUAGAGGAAUAGAAAGAAAAAGUGAUUCUCGCAGUAGAAUCAAGUGAAAUGGGAGUAACCUAAACUAUGAAAACAGGGUUGUGGGAGAGCACAAUAUAAGUUUUGUGAUGCUAGGCAAAGUCGUUGAGCCUUGCACCCUAGAUGGUGAGAGUCUAGUAGACAAAAGCAUCUUUGUCUUACACUCUAACCCGAGAAGCAUGGGGCAUGUGCAAACUCGUGUAAUCAGCAAGGACCACUUUGUAAGGCUAAAUACUCCUAGGUGACUGAUAGCAAAGUAGUACCGAGAGGGAAAGGUGAAAAGAAUCCCCAUUAGAGAGUGAAAUAGAAGAUGAAAUCGUAAGCUCCCAAGCAAUAGGAGGAAAAUCAGAUCUAUGACUACAUGCAUGUUGAAGAAUGACUCAACGACUGGCUUAGUUACAAGGACCCACCAAAGUCGUAGUGAGAGCGAGUCUUCAUAGGGAAAUUGUCACUACUUAUGUACCCAAACUCGGGUGAUCUAUCAAUGACUAGAUUGAAGCUUGGGUGAAACUAAGUGGAGAUCGAAACUAACUUAUGUUCAAAAAUCAACAAAUGAGUCAUGGUUAAGGGUCAAAUGCCACUCAAAACAAGAGCUAGUCAGUUCUCCCCAAAAUGCGUUAAAGCACAAUAGUUGACUAGGCCAUCUAGGGGUAAAGCACAAUUUUGGUACAGGCUACAAGUGUUAUCAAAUCGAGGUAAACUAUGAACACAAGAUUGCCCUAAUAAAAAGGCUAAGGUUCAACCAAUGAGAUGAUGGCGGAUAAGCAUCAUCAUGGACAGGGAAACAACCCAGAUCACCAACUAAGGUCCCUAAAUGACCACUCAAUGAUGAAGGAAGUACGAGUCCAAAGACAGUCAGGAGGUUUCCCUAGAAGCAAUCAACAAUGAAAGAGUGCACAAUAGCUCACUGGUCAAGUGGUCUUAUGCCAAAGAUGAAGAAGACUAAGUGAUUGUCGAAGUUGCAAGAUGUACAAAUAUAUUGUUGGGGAAGCAUUCUGCCUCAAAGGGAAGCACCAACGCAAGCAAGUGUGGACAAAGGUGAAGCGAGUAUGUCAACUUGAGUAACACAAACAUUGGUGAGAAGUUAGAACCCUAUGCCCCGAAAACCUAAGGAUUCACCUACAAGGUUCAUGCACAGAGGGUUAGUUAGGGCCUAAGAUCAAAUCGAAAGGUGUAGUCAACGGACAACAGGUGAAUAUUCAUGUACUACCCCUUGUCGAUCUGAAGGGCAGAAGAGUCUAGGUCAGUCGAAAGAUGGUUAUUAGUUCAAGGACGCAAGGUGACCCUAUUCUUUUAAGGGUAAGUAAGGGUUGAGAAAAUGCCUUGAGCCAAUGUCUGAGUACCAAGCACUACAACGUUGAAGUAACCCAUGGUAAUGAAAUUCUUUGUCAGGUAAGUUUUGACCCGUACGAAAGGCGUAAUUAUCCGAGCACUGUCUCAAAGAGAGACUUAUUGAAAUAGACAUGUCUGUGAAGAUGUGGACUACCUACACCUGGACAAAAAGACCCUAUGAAGCUUUACUAUUUACUAGGAUUGUCUUUGGGUUCUUGCACAACUUACGUGGAGGGCAAAGAAGCUCCCCUUCCAAGGGCCCUGAGCCACCAGUGAGAUACCACUCUAGAAGAGCUAGAUUUCUAACUUUACUUCAGGACCUAUAAGCCAAGGGACAGUCUCAAAUUGACGAUUUCUAUGGGGCAUAGACCUCCCAAAAAGUAAUGUAAGCAUCCAAAGCUUUCCUUGGGCCGAAUAAAAAUUGGCCCUCGAGUGCAAAGGCAAAAUGGAGCUUGACUGCAAGAACCACUCGUCAAGCAGGGAGAAAAGCUAGCCUUAGUGAUCCCACAAUGCCGAGUGGAAGGGUCAUCGCUCAACGGAUAAAAGUUACUCUAUGGAUAACAUGCUAAUAUUC
rnacentral:rRNA from 1 species